GGGAGCUGCGUGCAAGCCAGGCCACCAGGGGUUAAGCGGUGACCUCAGCCGCGCGCCCCGGGACCGGGCGGGCGGGGCGGGCCGUGCGGCGGCUGCAGGCCGCGGGCCGGGGCUGCAGUGGGGCGCGGGGCUCGGCCCGGCCACCGGCGCCCGCGGCAGGAGCGGGAGGCGCGGUGGCGCGGAGCCUUUGUGAGCAGCGGGGACGGUGAGCAGCGGGGACGGUGGUAGACUGAGCUGGACCCUGUCUGAUGGCUUCCUCGAACCCUCCUCCACAGCCUGCCAUAGGAGCUCCCCUGGCUCCCAGCGCUCCAGGCCCCUCCCCCGAGGUGGAGGAGGACUCCGGAGAAGCCUUUGAGUUUGAUGACAGUGAUGAGGAGGAGGACACCAGCUCUGGCCUGGUUGUCCCUGGCCUCGCCCCUGAGAGGGACACAGAGCCCUCGCUGAUCUGCUUUGACACUGUCCCGGGCUCAGACCUGGACCCAGCAGCUGCACCACCCCAGACAGAGGCACCCACUGUGGUCAGCAAUGGGGAUGCGGUGGGCGCAGCGAUCUCUGGGGUCCGGCGCUCCAGCUGGAAGCGGAAGAGCUCACGUCGAAUUGACCGCUUCACUUUCCCUGCCCUGGAGGAAGAUGUGAUUUAUGACGACGUCCCCUGUGAGAGCCCAGACGCCCAUCAGCCCGGGGCCGAGCGGGGCCUCGUUUACGAGGAUGUGCAUCGUGCAGGAGCACCGCGUGAGACCGAGGACCUAGGCUGGAGCUCUAGUGAGUUUGAGAGCUACAGCGAGGACUCUGGGGAGGAGACCAAACCGGAGGCCGAGCCCACUAAGCACCGAGGGUCCUUCCAGCCCAAGCUUUCUCCAGACCUGACUAGGCUAAAGGAGAGAUACGUCAGGACUAAGAGAGACAUCUUGGCUUUGAGAGUUGGGGGUAGAGACAUGCAGGAGCUGAAGCUCAAGUGCGAUUGUAAGAUGACCCAGCUCAUGAAGGCCGCCAAGAGCGGGACCAGGGAUGGGCUGGAGAAGACCCGGAUGGCCGUCAUGCGAAAAGUCUCCUUUCUGCAUAGGAAAGAUGUCCUCGGUGACUCAGAAGAAGAAGAUAUGGGGCUCCUGGAGGUUGGUGUGACAGACAUCAAACCUCCCGCGCCAGAGCUGGGCCCCAUGCCGGAUGGCUUGAGUCCUCAGCAGGUGGUCCGGAGACACAUCCUAGGCUCCAUCGUGCAGAGCGAAGGCAGCUACGUGGAGUCACUGAAGCGGAUACUCCAGGAUUACCGUAACCCACUAAUGGAGAUGGAGCCCAAGGCGCUGAGCGCCCGCAAGUGUCAGGUGGUGUUCUUCCGCGUGAAGGAGAUUCUACAUUGUCACUCCAUGUUCCAGAUCGCUCUGUCCUCCCGCGUGGCCGAGUGGGACUCCACAGAGAAGAUUGGAGACCUCUUUGUGGCUUCAUUCUCCAAGUCCAUGGUCCUAGAUGUAUACAGCGACUAUGUGAACAACUUCACCAACGCCAUGUCCAUCAUCAAGAAGGCCUGUCUCACCAAGCCAGCGUUCCUUGAGUUUCUCAAGCGGCGGCAGGUGUGCAGUACGGACCGAGUCACCCUCUAUGGGUUGAUGGUGAAACCUGUUCAGAGAUUUCCACAGUUCAUCCUCCUACUCCAGGACAUGCUGAAGAACACUCCCCGGGGCCACCCUGACAGGUUGUCGCUGCAGCUAGCCCUCACGGAGCUGGAGACGCUGGCUGAGAAGCUGAACGAGCAGAAGCGGUUGGCCGACCAGGUGGCUGAGAUCCAGCAGCUGACCAAGAGUGUCAGUGACCGCAGCAGCCUCAACAAGCUGUUGACCUCUGGCCAGCGGCAGCUGCUUCUGUGUGAGACACUGACUGAGACGGUGUAUGGAGACCGAGGGCAGCUGAUCAAGUCCAAGGAGCGCAGGGUCUUCCUGCUCAAUGACAUGCUGGUCUGCGCCAACAUCAACUUCAAGGGCCAGCUAGAGAUCAGCAGCCUGGUACCUCUGGGGCCCAAGUACGUGGUGAAGUGGAACACAGCUCUGCCUCAGGUGCAGGUGGUAGAGGUGGGUCAGGAUGGUGGCACCUACGACAAAGACAAUCUGCUCAUCCAGCAUGCUGGAGCCAAGAAGGCCACUGCUGCAGGGCAGGCCCAGAACAAGGUGUACCUGGGCCCCCCACGCCUCUUCCAGGAGCUGCAGGACCUGCAGAAGGACCUGGCCGUGGUGGAGCAGAUCACCCUCCUCAUCAGCACCUUGCAUGGCACUUACCAGAAUCUGAACAUGACUGUGGCCCAAGACUGGUGCCUGGCGCUGCAGAGGCUGAUGCGGGUGAAGGAGGAGGAGAUUCACUCGGCCAACAAGUGCCGCCUGAGGCUGCUGCUCCCCGGGAAGCCAGACAAGUCUGGCCGGCCCAUCAGUUUCAUGGUGGUCUUCAUCACCCCGAACCCCCUGAGCAAGAUUUCCUGGGUCAACAGAUUACACUUGGCAAAGAUUGGACUAAGGGAGGAGAACCAGCCAGGAUGGCUGUGUCCCGAUGAGGACAAGAAAAGCAAAGCCCCGUUCUGGUGCCCCAUCCUGGCCUGCUGCGUCCCCGCUUUCUCCUCCCGGACCCUCAGUCUGCAGAGCCCGCCCCUCCAUCUGGAGCAACCGUUGUCUAUCCUCUCCCAAGCAGAUGAGGACCCUGAGCUCUGGGACGGGCGAGCGAGCGUGGGACCCAGCACAGAUAAAUAGUCGCAGGAGCCGUGCGGGCUGGGCUGUAGACUGGGGCGCUAAGAGCUGACAGAGCACCUUGGCGAUCUUGGGGGCCUGGUCCACAGUCCUGUUAACUCUCCCCUGCUGGGCUUCUCGGCGGUCAGCACUUCCCUUCCACAGGGCUACCUUUGGGUUGGCGGUGGUCAGGAGGGUGCUGGUGGCCAGGUGGAGAUCUUCUCCCUGAACCGGCCUUCACCGCGCACGGUCAAGUCCUUCCCAGUGGCGGCCCCUGUGCUCUGCAUAGAGUAUAUUCCAGAUCCGGAGGAGGAGGCUGAGGGUGCAGAGGAGAGCCGGGCAGCCACCGAUCCCUCGGUCACAGUGCAUCCCACUGUCUGCCUUGGACUGCAGGAUGGCAGCAUCCUACUGUAUGGCAGUGUGGACACGGGUACCCAGUGCCUGGCCACCUGCAAGAGCCCAGGCCCGCAGCCUGUGCUCUGCCUGCGUCACAGCCCUUUCUACCUGCUUGCCGGCCUCCAGGACGGGACCCUCGCUGCCUAUCCUCGGACCAGUGGUGACAUUCCCUGGGACCUGGAGAGCCCUCCCAUGUGCAUAACUGUGGGCCCAGGGCCGAUUCGAACACUGCUGAGCCUGGAAGAUGCUGCAUGGGCCAGCUGCGGGCCGAGGGUCACUGUACUAGAUGCCGCCACUUUGCAAACUCAGCAAAGCUUCGAGGCGCACCAGGAUGAGGCGGUGAGUGUCACUCACAUGGUGAAAGCCGGCAGCGGUGUCUGGAUGGCCUUCUCCUCUGGCUCUUCCAUCCGCCUCUUUCACACGGAGACUCUGGAGCACCUUCAGGAGAUCAACAUCGCCACCAGGACCACCUUCCUCCUGCCAGGCCAAAAGCACCUAUGUGUCACCAGCCUCCUCAUCUGCCAGGGUCUGCUCUGGGUAGGCACUGACCAGGGUGUCAUUGUCCUGUUGCCUGUACCCCGACUGGAGGGCAUCCCCAAGAUCACAGGGAAAGGCAUGGUGUCUCUCAAUGGUCACUGUGGACCUGUGGCCUUCCUGGCUGUGGCCAUGAGCAUCCUGGCCCCUGACAUCCUGCGGAGUGACCAGGAAGAGGCCGAGGGACCGCAGGCCGAGGAGGACAAGCCAGACGGGCAGGCUCAUGAAACCGUGCCUGGGCCUGACAGCCACACAGCUCGGGAGCUGACCCGCAAGAAAGGCAUCCUGCUCCAAUACCGCCUACGCUCCACGGCCCACCUCCCCGGGCCCCUGUUGUCUGUGCGGGAGCCAGCACCUGCCGAUGGCUCGGCUCUGGAACACAGUGAGGAGGACGGGUCCAUCUACGAGAUGGCCGAUGACCCUGACGUCUGGGUCCGGAGCCGGCCCUGUGCCCGUGAUGCCCACCGCAAGGAGAUCUGCUCUGUGGCUAUCAUCUCUGGUGGACAAGGCUACCGCCAUUUCGGCGGUGCUCCAGGUGGCCUGAGUGGGCGGGCGGCCCCGUGCAGCGAGACAGACAGCACACUUCUCAUCUGGCAGGUGCCCUUGGCUCUAUAGCUGUCUACCCUGCCCAUCCAGAGGUCAGGGGGCAGCUGGAUCACUGCGGACAUGCUGGGACCCUUUGGCCCACCUGGAUUUUCCUCAGGGACCUGCCCAGGCCACAGGGAUAGGCCUGGAUUCUCCACUGAGGCCUUGGAAGAACAGAGGAGAAACCUCUGGAAAAAAAUUUAGAAUGUUUGGGGAAGGGUUUUUUUUAGAGUCUUGGGGGAACGGAAGGAUACACACAGAGAAUAUGGCCGUUUUGUUUUGUUUUGUUUUUGAAGCAAAAAACAUAAAACCUCACCACUGCCUGCUGAACCUAGAACCUUUUGUUGGGGCUGAGUGAGGCUCCGAGGUGGGCGGGCCCCUCCAGGAGGAGUGUAUGUGUGAGUGUCUGAGCGUGUGACUAUAAAUAUAUAUAUAUAUAAAUACGUAUAUACGAUGUAUAUUAUAUGUAUAUAAAUAUGAUCUGUACAUAAUGGGUCUCUGGGAGAUGCUGGAAUAAAAGGCAAGUUAUA